UCGAAUCCUGCGAUACUAGAAUGACCCGUUAACAUGUAUAAACCCCGGGCAAGCAUUGGGGGUCCUUGGGUCCCCAGUCUGCGAACCCAAGGCAGUUGUCCCCUUACGGUGGUCCACUGCCUAACGAAAUCAACUGGGCGUUAGACGCGCCAAGGAACUAAAUAUUGAAUUGUUCGUCCGCAUCCCGUUCACGGGAAGUGGCGGCAGUCUAUAACAC
rnacentral:rRNA from 1 species